GAUUUUCUUUCUUCAGAGAGUACUUAAAAAAAUUAUUAACAAGAAUAUUAUUAUUAUUACAGAUAUAAUGGUGCAUUCUUUACUAAUUUCGAAAGAACAUUCCUUGAACCAAUAUCCAUAGAUCAAACACACGCGUAAAACAUGCGUGUAUUAACUUCCUGUUUCCCCUGUUUCCAUUUUGUAUCCUUUUUUCUGCCACGAACCGCGCCAUUUUCGAAUAUUUCCACCCUUCCCUCGUGGCGCAAAAUCCACGGAUUAGCGUGACUUGGAACGUCGAGUAAACUGUUAUUGGAUUACAGGGUGACGUAAUUAAGGGAGCCGAUAGAAAUAAAUCUUUUGCCUCGGCCAAUUGGAUAAUUUGUGACGUACGAUCCGCGGCUAUCGAUUCGAUUUUAUUACGGUUCACCCGUGUCCCCGUGGUUAUUCUCGGAUUUGUUUAGGCGAUGCUCCCCCUCGUGUUUAUCCCGAUGGCGCAAUGAGUCCAGGAAGGCAUUUCGCCGUUUCCGGGCGUAAAUCUUUCUUUUAUGAGAGGGAACAGACAAUUCGGGAACGGUUGGAACGGCUGUUCUUCUGGUGGACAUUGUUGUAAAUUUCAUCGAAGUUAAUCGUUUAAUUUGUUGUAUUUAGGGGAAAGUCUAAAUUAAUAUUAAUUGUUGAUAAUCCAUAAUCCACUUUUACCAUCGAAAAUAAAUUUAUUCAUUCUAUGUAUAUAAAUCAAUGAGAUCAAAAAAAUAAAAAAAGAAAGCUUCUUUCUCAAUCGUUCAAUUUCACAAUCAAAAUACUCCUUUAAUCAGAUUUACUCUCGGUUAAAAAGUCGUGUAAACGGUUCUUUCGUUGCAUUGUUUGCACAUCAGACGAAAGUUGGUCCAGCCAACCCCAUUUUCGGCCGAAAAUCGUGAAGCGAAGCGGAGGGAUAGUUUUCGCGCAGAAAUAUUUACAAUAAUUCGGACGGAUCGCGAACCUGGUCACUCGACUUCCCCCAUGGGGAAACGUGUAUCACCGGAUCCAGCGGAAAUUCCAACGGGACGAGAAAUCCGGUCAGCGCAUUCUCCCCGUUAUCGGUACCGCUUAUCGCCCCGCCGCAGAACGCGCUCCUAGCUCAUUUCCAAAGGAAUGGAAUGGUCUCGAGAGGACGCAAUUCCAUUCAGAAUACCGUGGCCACGCCACGUGGAGCCACGGAUUUUUCAAAACCACGUCCUGACAGGAUGCCUACUUUCCUCUAUCCGCUCAAUUGAUUCCAAUUAUUAAGAAUUUAUUUGUGUUUGAGGAUGCUCAAUUGAUUCCAAUUAUUAAGAAUUUAUUUGUGUUUGAGGAUGCUAUUGUUAUUUUGUAAAUAAAUGGAUGUACAUAUAAUCGAAAGAAGAAUGAAUUCACUUUUUUCGAAUUAUUGUGCAUCACUGUUGGAUUCUACUCCUGGAAGCGUAGUAUUAAGUUUAAUAUGAUCCCAAUACUAGAUACUUAUUAAUUGAUAUCAUUAUGAUAAUUAAAAACUAUUAAAGGGAACGGACGUAGAGUAAUUCCUUUCUUCUUUACAGUUAAUUAAUCGUAAUCCUCUCCGAGAUGUUGACAAGUUCAAGAAAAGAAAAAAGAAAAGAAGUAACGAGAGCGAGCGAGCGAAAGAAAACUGAAACGCCAUUCACCCGGUCGGAGGCGAACUAGUUUCGAACGAUUGAUAAAAAGGAAAGAAAAUAGAAAAUAGGGCUAUCGGUCGGAGAGACACCGUUUCCUGUCCGGGCGUCGAUAUCGAGGACUCGCGGGGGACCUUGAAAGGCACGCGCGGAAUCCGGCUCCGGGCCGCGUUUCUCCGCGCCCCCGACCGAUUUCCCGUUCUCGCGAAACGAUACCCACACUCUGGCCCCCCUCGCUCGUGAUUAGCCGCCAUCUCGAAUUAACCGGCCGUCUAUCCGCUCGUUAAAGUCUCGAUGAAAUUCCUUCACGCUCGCGGUUACGCAAUCGCGGUUGGCCCGAAGGAAUUGCCAAUUUAUCGCCUCGAGAGGAUCUCGUUUCUUUCUUUCUUUCUUUCUUUUUUUUUUUCAAUCCAUGUGGAACAGGGUCAAAGAUUUGUUUCGAGAUUAUUUUUUUUUUUAAGCGUGGAAAUCUUUUGAACCUUUUCUAUUUGAAGAUUUUUUUUAUUUCUGUUUCAGGGGCUGAACAUUUAAGUUCCAUUUGUGAAUUAAUUGGACGAAUUAUUGGGGAAUUUAUUUUUCAGAUUUUUGUAAAACGAUUUAAGAAACGAGGCCGGGUGAAUGGAAAGAUCGUAUGCAGAUCAUGUCGGUGAAAAAGAAUCAUAUUGCCAGGAGUAAUGAGGGCACCGGUGUUUUUCUUUUUUUUUUUUUUUUUCGCAACUUUGGACGAGAUAUAUCUUGUGAUAUAAACUUGUCGCUGACAGAUGUUUUGUGUCGCAAUAUAUAUAUCGUUCGUAUGCUAAGGAUGAAAUAUAAUUAUCUUUUAUCCUUCGAUAUUUGUUUAAUAUUUUAUAUUGAAAAUGGUAUAUCAAAGAUUGCAAGAAAUUUUCGGUAUAUUAAUUUUUAUUUGAUACGAAGAGGAAGAAACAAGAGGGCAGGAGGGAAAAAUGCAUCGAGGAACAUUCGUAGUGAGAACGCGUAUGGAAAUGGAAAUCCGAAUAUCUAUCCGAAAACUCUUUUGCACCUUUUACGUUUCUUCGAGGAAAAAUCUAUGACACAUAUGUUCACGUCACCCACAUUGAACGUGUUAAAAUUGAACGUCACUUAUCGGACACUUUGAAAUAUGUAUUCCACAUCUUGUCUUCUUCUUCGUUUCUUUCUUUUUUUUUUUUUUAUUCCAAAUUUUCAGAUGAUACAUUUCAUAUUAUAAUAAAAGAGAUAUCCCCUCCGUAAUAAACGAUAUUGCGACACGAAAUAUCUUGUCCUAUAUCAUCUCAUAUCUCGCGAUAGAAAGGAUCAAUCCUUUCAAUGGUAAGCAAUACUUUUGUUAUUUUAAAUAUUGCGAAAUUUUGAAAAUGUUACAAGGAGUAUUCUUGGCAAAAAAAAAUUUAUUGAAGUUUUAAGCGUUAUUAUGUAACAAAUGGAACUUCGUAUCGUAAAUUUAUAAAAGAUAUUAUCGGUUAAUAUUGUUUGUUCGACAAAGUACGUGAUAUAGCGAAUAUUUCUUGUAAUUUUAAUUAAUCACUUUGCGAUAGUAUUUUGAAGGAAUUUUAUCUUCUUCCUCGAUUAAUCGUUGUGUUAAAAUACUUCACACUUUUUAAAAUAUCCACGCGUGAAACGAUUUGCAUUUUUAUGCAGCCAAUAUAUCGGUUGUGAUUGCUGAAUCAUAUUCUCGUUUGUUUUUUUUUCGAAAUAUUUAAAUUUUAAGUUAACUAAAUUAAAUUUAGUUGGAAGAACAUAUUUUUUAUUCAAAUAUUGAAAUAUCCGUUUUUUUUUUUUUAAGGAAAACAGGAAGGUAAAGUUCAAAAGUAUGAAGUGAUUACACGAUAGAGUUUGAUUUUGAUUAUUAUUUUAUUCAUCUUAAUACAUUUUUAUUGAAUAGAUGACAAAGGGAUAAGGAAAGCUUGUUCAUUAUAAAAAGAAUAUAAAAAGAGAAAAUAUUGGAAAUAUCGGAGAAUGUUGUUGAAGGAAUUGUUGAAGCAUGAUAUUCGAGAGAAAUUUAAUUUAACUCGAAUGGAGAAAUUGAACAAAUUUUACCAACUGGCGGCGCUUGAAUCUCCAUUUUACGAAAUCUUGGAAGAAAUAAUUAACAUUCACCGAGGAUUUUUCAAGGAAUAUCAUCGCAAGAAAUCAUAAUUUCCUAGGAAACGGAAAACUGCAUUUUCUUCGCGGAAGUGCUUCUUAUCUCGAAUAAUUAUUAAUUUCAA